rnacentral:rRNA from 1 species
ACCAACAGGGAUUGCCUUAGUAGCGGCGAGUGAAGCGGCAAAAGCUCAAAUUUGAAAUCUGGCGCCUUCGGUGUCCGAGUUGUAAUUUGAAGAUUGUAACCUUGGGGUUGGCUCUUGUCUAUGUUUCUUGGAACAGGACGUCACAGAGGGUGAGAAUCCCGUGCGAUGAGAUGCCCAAUUCUAUGUAAGGUGCUUUCGAAGAGUCGAGUUGUUUGGGAAUGCAGCUCUAAGUGGGUGGUAAAUUCCAUCUAAAGCUAAAUAUUGGCGAGAGACCGAUAGCGAACAAGUACAGUGAUGGAAAGAUGAAAAGAACUUUGAAAAGAGAGUGAAAAAGUACGUGAAAUUGUUGAAAGGGAAGGGUUUGAGAUCAGACUCGAUAUUUUGUGAGCCUUGCCUUCGUGGCGGGGUGACCCGCAGCUUAUCGGGCCAGCAUCGGUUUGGGCGGUAGGAUAAUGGCGUAGGAAUGUGACUUUACUUCGGUGAAGUGUUAUAGCCUGCGUUGAUGCUGCCUGCCUAGACCGAGGACUGCGAUUUUAUCAAGGAUGCUGGCAUAAUGAUCCCAAACCGC